UGCGGGGUGGAGCAGCCUGGUAGCUCGUCGGGCUCAUAACCCGAAGGUCGUCGGUUCGAAUCCGGCCCCCGCUA
rfam:Microbulbifer sp. ZGT114 ZB100003, whole genome shotgun sequence.